rnacentral:rRNA from 1 species
GGACGAACGCUGGCGGCGUGCUUAACACAUGCAAGUCGAGCGGAGAAUAUAGCGAUAUAUCUUAGCGGCGGACGGGUGAGUAACGCGUGGGUAACCUGCCUUUUACAGGGGGAUAACACUGGGAAACUAGUGCUAAUACCGCAUAAAAUAGUGAAGUGGCAUCACUUUACUAUCAAAGGAGCAAUCCGGUAAAAGAUGGACCCGCGUCCGAUUAGCUAGUUGGAGGGGUAACGGCCCACCAAGGCGACGAUCGGUAGCCGAACUGAGAGGUUGAUCGGCCACAUUGGGACUGAGACACGGCCCAGACUCCUACGGGAGGCAGCAGUGGGGAAUAUUGCGCAAGUUACGGGGGGAAACCCUGACGCAGCAACGCCGCGUGAAGGAUGAAGGUUUUCGGAUUGUAAACUUCUUUGAUUGGGGACGAUAAUGACGGUAACCCAAAAACAAGCCACGGCUAACUACGUGCCAGCAGCAGC